UUUCCGUAGGUGAACCUGCGGAAGGAUCAUUGUCAUAAUGCAGCAGAAUGUCGGUGGACAUGCGGACUCGUUCGGACAUAUGCAGGGGUGCUUGAUGAUCGGCCCCAGGCGCGCCCUACGGUCGAUGAUGGCAUGCCUCCCGGGGCAUGACGACAUGGAUCAUAACCCGUAUAUCGGCACGGGACGUGCCAAGGUACAUGAUAAGAGCACCUCCCCGUGAUCCGCCAUGUAUUGUGCGUGGGAUUCACGGGGGUGAUGUGUGCAAACAUAUGAUAACGACGACUCUCGGCAAUGGAUAUCUCGGCUCCCGUGUCGAUGAAGAACGCAGCGAAAUGCGAUACAUGGUGUGAAUUGCAGAAUCUCGUGAAUCAUUGAGUUUUUGAACGCAAGUUGCGCCCGAGGCCGUUUUUGGGUCGAGGGCACGCCUGCCUGGGAGUCAUGCACUGCGUUGCCCGCGGACAUCCCCCGUUAGGAGACCCAUGUAUUUGGCUUGCUUUCGGGAGGGGGGCUCCGAGGGUAGAUGGUGGCCUCCCGUUCCCCGUUGUGCGGUUGGCUCAAUUCCAUGGUCCUUGGUGACAUGCGGCGUGACGAGUUGUGACGAACAACGUUAAUCCCAUGCCGGCAAGUGAACCGUUGCGGUCCCACGGCUUCGUUGACACAUUGGACGGGGCAACAAUUUCGACCCC
rnacentral:misc_RNA from 1 species